rnacentral:rRNA from 1 species
GAUGAACGCUGGCGGCGUGCCUAAUACAUGCAAGUCGAGCGAACAGACGAGGAGCUUGCUCCUCUGACGUUAGCGGCGGACGGGUGAGUAACACGUGGAUAACCUACCUAUUAGACUGGGAUAACUUCGGGAAACCGGAGCUAAUACCGGAUAAUAUAUUGAACCGCAUGGUUCAAUAGUGAAAGACGGUUUUGCUGUCACUUAUAGAUGGAUCCGCGCCGCAUUAGCUAGUUGGUAAGGUAACGGCUUACCAAGGCAACGAUGCGUAGCCGACCUGAGAGGGUGAUCGGCCACACUGGAACUGAGACACGGUCCAGACUCCUACGGGAGGCAGCAGUAGGGAAUCUUCGGCAAUGGGCGAAAGCCUGACGGAGCAACGCCGCGUGAGUGAUGAAGGUCUUCGGAUCGUAAAACUCUGUUAUUAGGGAAGAACAAAUGUGUAAGUAACUAUGCACGUCUUGACGGUACCUAAUCAGAAAGCAACGGCUAACUACGUG